GGGGAUGUAGCUCAGAUGGUAGAGCACUCGCUUAGCAUGCGAGAGGUACGGGGAUCGAUACCCUGCAUUUCCA
rnacentral:tRNA from 1 species